rnacentral:lncRNA from 1 species
GCAAUGUCACAAUCGCCACUGUUCUCACCUCUUUCCAAUCUUGUCAAUGUUCUCUGUGACUUGAGGCACCGUUGGCAUUGGAAACACCGUCCCCUUUCUCCUUUUCUUCCUUCACAUUUAGCACUAGUAGAUUUGGUGUUAUUAGAGUCACCCACACAAUCCCAUUUGGAGCCAAGUGCACACAGUCAAACCUAACCCUUUCUUUUUCUUUCCAAACCCAAGAAACCAAAUAACUUUUCUCCACCCG